rnacentral:misc_RNA from 1 species
GGCUGAUCCACAAUAGUAGCCCCCUAUCAAAGAUGCAAAGUGUUGUCAAAGCACAACAAAAACAACCAAGUCAACAAGGUACUUGCUACCCAGGAGACUUGUUGACAAAGUGGUUCGGCAAAGUAUACGACCAGCUCAAAAUCCAUUUAAGAAUUGAGAUAGUCUGGGUAAAGGUAAACAGGGCGUCACAUGUAAAAUUGCAUGUGUACAUAAAGCUUUUGGGCCUCUUCGAUUUAGAAGGAGAAACUUCUUCUAAAAGAAUUUUUGCUCUGAAUGAUGUACACACUAAAGAGAGGCUCAAGAACUUUCUUGCUUUAUAGGAAAAUCAUUUUAUCAGUAAGUCGACUUAGAGAACAUGACAUGAAGCCAUCAUGGGUAUCAGGCACAUCAAGGGUGCUACAUUUAAUUUGUGUGGAAAACAUUGUUUCCAAAAAAAGACAACUUACACUGAGCAAUACUGCAGUUUCCA